GACGUAGGGCGCGAGCGUUGUCCGGAUUUAUUGGGCGUAAAGAGCUCGUAGGCGGCUUGUCGCGUCGACUGUGAAAACCCGCGGCUCAACUGCGGGCUUGCAGUCGAUACGGGCAGGCUAGAGUCCGGAAGAGGAGAGUGGAAUUCCUGGUGUAGCGGUGAAAUGCGCAGAUAUCAGGAAGAACACCCGUGGCGAAGGCGGCUCUCUGGGACGGUACUGACGCUGAGACGCGAAAGCGUGGGGAGCGAACAGG
rnacentral:rRNA from 1 species